rnacentral:tRNA from 1 species
CAGGCCGCGGGCGGGCUGUGGCUGGCUCGGGUGCUGGCCGAGAACUCGCUGUACGAGCCGGUGCGGCUCGC